CAGAGGGGCGUAGCGAAAGGGAGGAAUUGACCCGGAGGAAGAUGCAGGCCUGUGGUGCAUGGGGGCGUAGAGGAGAAUUCAGGCUGCGUAUCACAGCACUGCUCCUCAACGGAGAAACUGAGGACCCUCAACAUUAUCUGAAGGUCUCAUGCCCUGCAGGACAGCUUGAUUUGGCUGAAGUUAAAACACGUACACACUAUUGUAUGGAGGUGGGAGACAUCUUCCUGAGCUGGAAGCUGAAUACUCGGCCCCUUGAUUCUUGAGGAAUAUUCUGGAACAUAUAAACAGGAGUCCUUGCCAUUUUGCUCUGUGACUCCCCAGCGCUUUGGUG